CACGGUCCCAGGCUGGUCUCAAACUCCUGAGCUCACAUGAUCCUGCCAUCUCAGCCUCCUAAAGUGCUGGAGUUAUAGGCUUAAGCCACCAUGCGCAUCCGAGAAAUAGUAUUUAUUCUAGACUCUACGAUGUUAUUUUCCUUGUUCCUAUUGCAUGAAUUUUUGUUCUAAUUUCUAACCCCUUGAACUUGAUUUUCCCCUCAAAGGUACUUACUCUCAUGAAGGUGUUGCCUCCAUGGCAGCUGACACAAUCCCCUUCCAGGGUCUAGGUCUUCUGGUGCAAAUUCCCACACCCAAACCUGUAGAGUCCAGAGAGGUAAGUAAUCAGUGAAGCAGGUGGAUGGGGAUCAAGAUGAAAAGGAGAGGGUUGUUACUUUUUGUUUUCUUUUUACUUGAUGUAUAGUUUUUUGUUGUUUCUUGGAGAUGGAAUCACUCUGUGUUGCCCAGGCUGGUCUUGAACUCCUGGGCUCAAGCAAUCGUCUUGCCUCAGCCUCCCAAAGUAGAUGGGAUUAGAGCCACAAGCCAUCGUGCCCAGAUCCAUUGUAUUGGUUUUUAAAGGGAGAAGUUGUCACUCAGCUUGAGCUAAGAGUUGCCCUAAGGAAAACCGGAUUAGUAUUGACAGUUUUGCUUUUAAAAUAAAAGGGAGGGUGGAAAUGUGGAAGUUCAUGUGAACUCCCCUGAUUUUGGAACAUUGGCAAAUAAUUCAGAAAUUUUUACUGUGCUCUGCAGGGCCACAAAACAUGACUUUGGGCUAUACAUAUCCUGAGAAUUGCUUGCUUGAAAACUCUGUUUAAGCUUUUAGAUACUGAAAUGCAAGUGUCUGGCAGGUGAUUUUGUUACAGUAGGUAGCUAGGUAGACAUGAGUGGGGCAGGAGAGGCUCCCUCCUUACCCCACUCCAGAAUGUCAGCUGACCAUCAGGUGAUGGUCAGGCAUUGUUAAGCUGUCUUUCUAAAAUAAUUGGUUACAGCUGGCGCCAGGGACUGUCAGUCUCCCAGUAGAUAGAAAAAUCCUGGAGCUGGUGAUCAACUUCCCCAUAAGAUCUCAGGAGUUGGAUGAGUGGACUCAAGCGUGCAGACUAAGAGGCGAAAUGGUGGAGGUUAACUGAUAUGUGACUUUACUGGAACGCUGGACUGACCCAGAGACAGCUUUGGAAUCUUCAGACAAUUGAUCAGAUUGGCUCCUGCGAAGAACCGUUUGUCAUCCUUGGUCCAGGAAGUCAACUCAAAUCCAAGAAGUCAAUUUUCUUAAUAGCCACAAAUGUAUGUGACAUUAUGGCUCUGGCCUAUUCUUCAGAAGCCGUUAAGGUGCCUUCCCUGGGGCAUCAAGUGUGAUUUAGAGGUAAGCAUCGUUUGUUUUGGGCUUUGCUUCUUUUUAGGUAGUGUUUACAGUGUAUCACCACUGACCAGUUAUUUAAUUACAGAGUGACCAGUAAAUCCUGCUGAGUUUUACAUGUUUUUACAGGGUCAGGAAAGUCAAGGUCACUGACCAAAGUGAGGUGUUUGACUGUCAGUUUGGUUGUGUCUAAUCAAUAACCAAAGCAAACAGUUUCUACUCAUACAAUCAAGUAUGAUUUGUCAGACAUUUAUUGAGCAUUUACCAUUGGAUAUCAUGCUUGGCCCUGGGAAUAUCAAGUUAAUACAAAACGUAACUUUUGCCUUUGAAAGACUUAUAGUCUCCCUUGAGAUGCAGGACCUACGUGUAGAGUGAUGAGAAUGUAAGGACGAAUAUCUGAAUUUGUAGAAGUCUGUAUUAUCUACAGACUUCUGGUUCAGAGAAGGGUCUGUUUCAAAGAUCCUGGGCCAUAGGAAAAGGCAUCUUGAAAGGAGAAGUUUGAGGGGCUUCUUAAGCCAGUAGGAGGAAUAAAUCGUGACCUUGGAGGAGUGGGUGAAAGCCACUUAGCUGGGAGAGACAUUCUGACUUUGAGAGACUGUGAGGGGAUGUAUUUGCCUGGAGCUCAGGGAUCAUGGGGUGGGUGUUACAGGAGAGGAGGUUGAAGAAAUAGGUCCGGGCUAGACCUCAGAUGCCUUUGAAUUCUAGUCCGUGGCAUUUGGAGCUUCUAAUGUAUGCGGAGAGUCUCUGAUGAUAGGUUUAGAUGGCAUUUAAAAAAGAUUAAUCUAUCAAUGUUGUGUAGGAAGAACUGCAGUGGUGGAGAGGUAGAGGCAGGGGAAAUGUUUAGGAGACAUUUAGCUACAAUUUUAGUUGCAAGAUUUUUUAAAUUUUUUAUCAUUUUUUUGAGAUGGAGUUUUGCUCUGUCACUCAGGCUGGA